AUGGUUGACAAGGACCAGAAAGAAAUGAAGGCAAUUAAUGCUGCUAUCCAUUUGGAUGGUACGCUGGUACGAACGACCAGCUUCAGCGAGAACGUGACGUAUUUCCCUUGCUCCAGUCUUCCAGUUCGCCAUUUGUGUCCGACGAGUUUGAAAAGAAUGGACGCCAAAAGAAGGGCAGUUUUGUCGAUCACACUGGACACUUUCCUAGAACAGGAAAUCAUGGCUGUGAUUUUCCUGAAACAGUUCCAGAAUCUCGUGGAAGAAGAUAGAAGUAAACGCAAACGGGCUGUGGUUGAGGCUAUGUCUGUGCUGCGGCCCAGAGUGAACAUUAUCCUGAAGUCUGGCACAGAGUGGCAGAUAAUGCUAGACAUGGAUGACCACACAUUUGCCCGGCAUUUCAGAAUAUCAAAAACCCGGUUUGAGGUCCUUAAAGGGUACCUACAGGAGGGUGGCCUGCAAAGCGAUCACAACCAUGGGCUGCCCCCCCUGCCUAUUGCCAAGAAGGUACUCAUGUUCCUGUGGUACAUGGGCAACCAGAACUGCUUCCGGGAGAUAUCAGACAAGUUUAACGUCUCAUCUUCAUCAGCACACCGCGCCAUACUCCAAGUGCUAACCAUCAUGUCCACCCUUGGCUGGGCUUUUGUCUCUUGGCCUAAAGGCUGUGAGAAGAGGGUGUCUGCCACCAGCUUCCAACGCACAUGUGGCCUUGAGAGGGUCAUUGGAGCGAUUGAUGGCUGCCACAUUAGAAUACAGUGUCCACGGGUCAGAGGAGUGGACUACAUGAACAGGAAGUCCUUCUACUCUGUCCUCCUCCAGGGGAUUGUGGAUGCUGAAGGCUGAUUCAUCAAUGUCUUCACUGGAAUGCCUGGCAAAGUGCAUGAUGCCCGGCUGCUGCGGUCCUCCUGGUUUUUCCAAGAAUGGCAGGAGAGGAUGGGGGAGUACCGUCUGCUGGGGGACAGUGCAUACAUCGGUCAGGAUUUUCCCUUCAUCAUCUCCCCCCGGCGUGACAACGGGGCUCUUACUGAUGCAGACCUUCGUCGCAACACCGACAUCUGCCGGGGAAGAGUCAUCAUUGAGCAGGCAUUUGGGAGAAUGAAAUGCAAGUGGAGGCGCAUUAGAGACUUGCAGAACACAUGCACUGUCACUAUUGCGAAGAUCAUCUUGGCUGCAUGUUAUCUUCACAACUUUGCCCAAGGUGCCUCGAUAGGAUGUGAUGAACACCCAGAUGGAUGUCCAAGAGAAGAUGAUGCCAACCAGUAGGAAAAGGUGUUCAGGCAAUUCUAUUAUGUUCAUUAUUCAUUAC
rnacentral:lncRNA from 1 species